ensembl:lncRNA
CUGCUCAAGUACUCCGAGCCCUUAUUCCUGCAUAUAAGCUGAUGUCCUGCUUAGAGUGGAGAUUUACAACCUGCUCACCAUGGGGGUUGCAUCAGUAAGACAUGUGUUCUCCUCGUUCUCAUACAUUAGCUUGUUUUGGGAGGGGAAAAUGGCUGCUCCCUUCAAAGAAAUCCCGGCUUUUGCUGAUGCUAUCUGGCAUUUUCACGGUGUCAUCAUUUUGCAACUCAUUUCGUGAUCCAGGGCAAAUGUGCGUCAGGGCAUUGGGGUUUUGGUAUACCACAGACGUCAUCUGCUUCUCAACUGCCGCUAACUUGAGGAAGUUGUCAAAAAUACAAUUGGUUUCUCCUACAGAGGAAAACACAUGGCUUAGAAAGCAGUGGGAGCUGCCUGUUUUCCUUUUUGGGUGAAGAACAGGAAUUUUCAGAAUUUGGUCAGAAAGUGGUUUGGGCUGUGGGAGAAGUUGGACUUUGAUCCCAGGGAAAAUCAACUUUGAGAUAACAAGCUCUACAAAAACUCCCCAUUUAUUUGGUACAUUCAUUUGUUUUCAACUAUGCAUGUGCACAUAAUGUGAAUGUAACUAUAUAUAUAAAAUGUCUUCCAUCCUUUCCUCUUUGUGACCGUAGCAGGAGGAAGGGCCUUUACAGCAGCCACCAAAGGACUAAGACGUGCGACAGAGGGAACAGCGUGUUCUUCCAGAGCAUGAAGCUUGGCUCUGGUGCUCACUUCAGGUGGUUAUAUGCGUGGCAUAGAUGCCACGAAUGACUCACAGAUGACUGCAGUACUUAAAAUUUCCUACAAGGGGUUGAUCUGAGGUGAACAGAUAGAGGAAGGAGACAUUAUAUGUAGCUCUGUGGACUGGUUCUUCAAGGGUGAUGCAGAAGUCAUUUGCAUGUGAAGUUCUCCCUCUGGCAAAGCUUAGUUUUACAGCAAAAUAUUCUCAGGAAUUCUGUUAUAUUGUGAAAGCCAGAUGAGGGAGGCUGCCUGAAAGCAAUACAAGAUGGCCAGUGUAUCUGGCAAACUAGAAACUUCCUGAUGUAUGUGUGAACAUGACCAAAUACUAUCUAAUGUGCCAAACUGCUCUGAAAGCACAUUUGAAUCAGAAUUAAGUUCAUGCAUCUGGGCCAUCCUGCAGCUGCUUCUACAGGAACGUGUUUGGGUCUAUAGUAGCCUUACUUUCAAGCUUGACCUGUCUUCUGUUGCUUGUAUCUCUUUUGGAGAACUAGAAGACCUUCAAAAGAAACAGCUGUGGUUCUUAUAGUCAUCAGUAGUACUUCCAGCUUGUUUCAGAGAUGCAGCUUGCCCAUUCUCUUUCCGUGCUGCAAUUUGAAAGGUUGAAUGGACUCAAGACAUGCCAAAAUGAUGCACAUUUGGUAUCACUAAAAUUUUCAGCACUUACUGCUUGUCACCAUAAGCAGAGUUGUAACCACACAGGUGCUGCAUCAGAAGAGAGAAAAGCUGGAGCCAAUACUAGUGGAAUCAUUUGACCUGACCUCAAUGGCAAGGGGCAGCCCCAUGACGUGAAGGCUGGAAGUUCCUGUGUCCAAGGGCAAAAGCUUUGGAAAACUCAGAGGGUAAAGUAGCCAUGCGUUUCUCGAGAUCUACAUUCACUUCUACUUUUAGUGGCUUGGACCAAACCUUAAUGUAAGCAACUGCUUUGGCAUGUUGCACUAAAAUUUUAUCUGGAUGGUGUCGCAAUGUCCUUUGGGCUGUGGGAGAAGACAGUGCUUGAAAUAUGCAUGUUUGAGCAAGUUCAACGCAGCUUGCUUUUGCUGGAGCCUGACUUUCUUUCCUGGACAAAGCCAGAGAUUUGUGGAGUCUAAUAAUGUGUCAGCAAACCAACUUGGCAUAUAGAAAUGAGAAGGGCGAGUCCCUGUUCCAGUUGCAUAAAAAUGUCAGAGUGUGUGGGGAGUAGAUGAAGCAAAUUAUAUUUCUUCCAUCUUGUUAAUGACUGUUGGAUGGACAAUGCAGAAGGAUCCCUUUUGCAGGACAAAAAGGCUACAAAAAUAAUAGAAAUGAACGUCUGCAGCUGAAGAGUUUGGCUGGGACUUGAAAAGUUUGCUUUGGGUACGAGCCAGGUCCUGCUGAGGUCUGCAGGAAUUUUGCUCUUGGCCUCAGUGGGACCAAGCUUUCACCCUUGGAGGCCAUGUCCUGAGGAAGAAUUUAGUCUGAAAUAGUUUUCAAAACUUGUAUUGUUUGACUCACAACCAAGCAUUUUGUUGAGACUGAAUGGCUUUGUAUUUCUGAUUGACUCAUGUUGCUCAUCUUAGCAUCCUGCAGCAGUGAUCUCUCAAGGAAAUCCAAGUGUGAGAGAGGAUUGCAUGUAAGGUUCCUAAACCAAAAGCUUCUUGCAGGUCUUCCCAGGUGUCUGCUUAAGCUGUAUAUUUUUGGGAGGAGAUGUGCCUUGGAGCCCCAGCACAUCAGCACACUGCACUGAAGCUAUGGCUGUGACCUGUGGCAUGACUGGGAUAUGCCCAUCCAGACCCUGGUCAUCUUUGAUAGACCCAUCCCUCCAUUCUGCAUAUGAUUCUGUGAUUCAUGGUGAAACAAAUAUUUGAAGGAAGAACAGAGAACUAGUAAAGUGUUUUGAUUUAUACCUCACAUGUAUGCCCUUCCUUAUUACCCCCUUGGUCAUUUUUCCUGUAGACCUCAGAGACCACAUUGAAAAUAACCACUAUCAAAGUGAGGUUUGUGCCAUUCUUCUUCUUCUUCUGAUUAGAGCUAGGAUAACACAUUCAAAUAAUAAGUCUGAAGCUGGGCAUGGGUGGGACAACACUACUGUACUCUUAACACUGCAUGUUCUAGGCAGAUUUAACAUGCAGGUCUUGCAUUGUUGGACUGCACAAGUGUAGUAAUGUUGGAUUUUACUGCUCUAUAUCAACUUGUGAUGAAACGUGGUGACAUCAGCGGAGACAAAGGCCCAUUUCGUAUAAAGCUUGCAGAAACACCAAGUGCUUGUUUGGCCAUUCAGAACACGGAGCUGGGGAAAACAACUUGCUCAGUUCACAGCCCUGAAUCCUCUGGAGAUGCGUGGCUGGGUUAUUUCCUUGAUAUUCUGUGAUAUUAUGACCUGUUCUAAUAGCACAGGAUCAUAGAACUGUAGGAGUUGGAAGGGAGGAUUAUUGAGUUCCAGCCCCUGCUAAAGCAGAUUCCAUACAGGAGGUUGCACAGAACAGUAUCCAGACCCAAAGAAGGAGACUCCACAACCUCUGUGGUCAGCCUGUCACAUUUAAGCAGUUUAUAGUUAUCAUGAUUUAAGAUUUUCCUCCCAAAGUCAAUUGGUUUCACAGUAGACCCCAACAAAUCAGUAUUUUUGUUUUGCUGAAAUGGAGUGUGAUAUCAUUUUAAUGGCUCCUUUCUGAAAACCUUGAAAGCUGCUUAAGAAACAGAUUCACAGUGUAUGGGCUCGAAAACUAUCCCAUUCUGGUGCACUUGAAGUUGUCGAGCACAGAGUGCAUAAUUUAGAAUUGAAAAGAAAAAGAUGUAUCUGUGAAUUAAGGACUGCAAUACAGGAGCUAUCAACCACCAAGAGGCUCUUUUAACCUCAGCAGAGCUGUGCUCUUUAAUGUGUUUUUGUGGGGAAGAAGAAUAAAAAGGAAAUCUGAGAAAACUGAUCUUUAUUUUUAGAAAAAUAAUUUCUUUUUGCUAAGGAGGACUUUUUAUUUUCUGUGCUCUAAAUAAAGCAGUGAUAUGGUCCUGUUGUGCCUCAGGCUAUCCGCUUAAAAGAAAAGGCUCCAAAGAUGGACCAUCUGGAAGCCUGUGCAAGAGCACGCCAGUGCUGUUUGAUGUGGAAGAGCAUCCUUUGGAUGUAUUUUUGCACACUGCUCAAUCCGCUGAAGUUUUUUUUGUGUGUGUUGAGCUGAUGGGAACAUCUCAGAGGAUUUUGCUUCAUGUGUUAAUGCUGCUUGCUUCUUUUUUCAUUAAAUGAAAGCUGGGAAGCAGUGUUUCUCUCUAGAAGCACUUUCGAGAUCUGCAGGUGAUCACAACGCAAAGGGAGUCAGUUGCACAUUCUUGGCCAGAUCUGCUCUUUCCAGGGCACAACAAGAACUUCCUCCUCUUCCCAUUUUUUUCUGGGAUGCCUGGGAUCUCCUUGGUUCCUGCGAGGCCAAAAAAGUUCUCUGUUUUGUUGUUGUGGUGGUGUUUUUUUGUUCAGGACUUUGCCUGAUGUACUUUGUUUCAGUGCUGCAUCUGAGAUGAGGAGAAAUUCACCCCUGGUUCUGGGAUAAGGGGUUCACCCCCACCCCAUGCAGUGUUUCUCUGAGCUUAUGUUCUCAGAUGUUCAAGUCCCAUCCCUGCACAUACCGGUGCCCUUUUGGCUCAACCUGCACAUCUGACAGCCUAUGCACUUUGCCCUCCCAUUAAGAGGCUACUCGUGUAAGGAAUUAGGGUCUUGUAGUUACAAGCUUUUGCAGGGAAACAAAACCACUCUUUUCUUUAGAUGAAUGUUGGACAACUCUUUUUUGUUUGUUUGUUUUGAUGGAAACUUGUGAAAUAAGCAAGAUCAACUCCACCUCCUAAAAUGAGCUCUCAGUGUUUCGUGCCGCCUCCAAGAGAUUACUUUUUAUUUUGGGGGGGGAGGGUCAGGGAUGUGGGCCAAAGUGGGACGUUUGCAAGCUGGUGAAUCUUCUGAAAAGGACAAGUGUAGGCACUUUGUCUCCUCUCAGCAUGGCCAGCGUGGAAAGCAGUGAAGGACUAAAGGACAUCGCAGUGUCGUGGACAUUCGUGCCACUAACUGCUGUUGCUUUCACCAGCCAUAUGUACAGCUGCGUUCUUUUUAUAGUGCUGCAUAUGGCACUAUCGUAAUUGAAUUUUUCUUAAUAAUUGAUCUGACCUGUAUCAUUCUGUUCAUUUUAGGAGAGCUAAUUCAAGCAGAUUGAGAUUAGGACUAAAAAUAUGGUUUGGUUAGCGGAGGAACCAUAAAGAGCGCGACUUCACAGUAAUGAUGACACACAAUCUGUUUUACCCAGAUAGGCUCAUACUAUUUAUAUGUAGCACACUGUCAAGGCUGGUGCCUUGUCUGCCUUGCAGUAGCUGCGAUACAUGGAGUAGUGGCAGUCCUGUGCUGAAGAGCACUCUAAUUCCAUGUUUUGGGACCUUCCCACCUUAUCACUUCCUCUAGCAAGGCUGUGGGGUCCAAGAUUGCAGCUGAUGGCCCUGUCUCUGUUGUAGUAACUCUCCAACUUGCCCAUCCAUGUGAGGAAUUGAAUCUGCACUGUCCCAGCCCUGGGCAGGGGAAAUGCGAAUCUCUAGCAUGGUGAGCUUAGCUUCUCACAGCAAGCUAUGGAAAUAGCAAUGAAAUUGGAAUAGGUGAGCUGGAUCCUGCCUCAUGUUUAGAAAUGAAAACCCUAGGGUAGUCUCUGAAUUGCCCUUUGCUGAAAAGGAUUUUGGCUGUUUGGUUCAGACUCCCGAAUGUAGGAACGGCGGAGGUGGGACUGCAGACAACUAAGAAAGUUAGAAACGGCCCAUACGAUUAGGAUGCUGCAAAACGAGUGGCAGCUCUUUCUCUCCCAGAGCUCUCGGCUGCAGCUGAGUAUCUGGACCAGACGUUAUUUUUGGCAAGAGGAAAAAAUACAUCUCCCUUGAUACUGUGCAAAAAAAAUGAAAGUAAAUGUUGAGACAUACACGAGGGCAAGGAUCUCCUCUGUUGUGUGGCAGCAGUGCUUUUAGAACUGAAAUCCACUUGCUUUGAUCACUGAUUAAAAAAAAUGGACAUAAAAGGGAUUUAUUGUGAAAUAAUGGAUUUGAUCCCCAGUAAUCCUUUCUUUGGGAUUAGACUUGGAAUAUUAUUUUUGUGAUCUGUGGAAUUAGACCAUGCUGGCAUGACAGACCAAAGCACGUGAGUUUAACUGCAGGAUGAGGCUGAGCUGCAAACAGAGUGAAUUACUUGCACAGAACAAAGCAGCUGAUAAAUCUACAGCUCUGUAUUUAAUGACGCAAGAUCCACAUGCAAGCAUAGAAACAGAAAAAAAAAAUCCUAAACUGAAGGCAGGAAAGACCCCUUCUUCCCAGCUGACACUGCAGAGAAACACUGUGAUCACAGAAUCAUUGAAUCAUAGAAUGGCUUGGGUUGGAAGGGACCUCAAGGAUCACCGAACUCCAACCCCUGUACCAUAGGCGAGGUUGCCAACUGCGUGAUCUCUGUGGACUGCUGGCUAGAGCUUCUGGUUUGAGUAUUUUCUGCCACAAGAACUACAAUUUGUAGCUGCUCCCAAUGGAAUGACUGAGGGACUUAGAAUGUCGGUGCAAACUCGGUGCAGGUCUUCAUGUAUGGCCACAAUACUUCCCAGUGAGAUUUGGCAAGCCCCAGGCUCGCUGCCCAAACAGUGCCUGCGUGCACAGCUCCUUGGUCUCCCAGCACACUGCUGAUUUGGCCUGAUGUGUGCUGAGAAGUCCUCCUGAGUGGUUCGUUAUGGGUAUAUUAUAACAAAAUAGGUACAAAAUGUGCUAUGAAUCCCUGGUAUGUAACUUUGAAGUCCCAAACCUUUCACAAAAAGCAACUGCAAGGAACUCCUCUCACUUCUCCUGCCAGAUUUUGACUCUGAACUCAAAGUGGGGCUGGAGAUGGCUUUUAAAACAGAGGGAGAGUUCCUUUGUGUUGUGCUCUGAAUCAGCUGAUCUUCAAAACAAAACAAAACAAAACACAAAAGCUGUGGGACAGAGAGCAAGCGAAGGAAAGGUAAAAUAUCCCCUGCCAGACCCAUUCCUGCUUUCGCUGCUGGACUCACAGCCACACUUCUGUUUGCAAAGGUCACUCCUGCAGCAGGACAUGGCCCAGGCUCCUGCCUUGCACAGCCGUGGGAGCUGCUGGGCACAUCAGCACCCCUAAGCAUAACCCAG